GUUGGGUCACAGUUGGAACGACUGCUAUACCGGAUGUGCCGAAAGGUGAAAGGCUUGCUGCCUGAAAAUGAGCUCGCGUCUGAUUACCUAGUAGGUGUGGUAAGAGCGCACCUAGGCGACGAUCAGUAGCUGGUCUGAGAGGAUGAUCAGCCACACUGGGACUGAAACACGGCCCAAACUCCUACGGGAGGCAGCAGGGGGGAAUUUUCCGCAAUGGGCGAAAGCCUGACGGAGCAAUACCGCGUGAGGGAGGAAGGCUCUUGGGUUGUAAACCUCUUUUCUCAAGGAAUAAAAAAGUGAAGGUACUUGAGGAAUCAGCAUCGGCUAACUCCGUGCCAGCAGCCGCGGUAAUACGGAGGAUGCAAGCGUUAUCCGGAAUGAUUGGGCGUAAAGCGUCCGCAGGUGGCAUUGUGUGUCUGCUGUUAAAGAGUGAGGCUUACCCUCAUAAAAGCAGUGGAAACUACAAAGCUAGAGUGCGUUCGGGGCAGAAGGAAUUCCUGGUGUAGCGGUGAAAUGCGUAAAGAUCAGGAAAAACACCGGUGGCGAAGG
rnacentral:rRNA from 1 species